GAUGAACGCUGGCGGCGUGCCUAAUACAUGCAAGUCGAGCGAACAGACGAGGAGCUUGCUCCUUUGACGUUAGCGGCGGACGGGUGAGUAACACGUGGAUAACCUACCUAUAAGACUGGGAUAACUUCGGGAAACCGGAGCUAAUACCGGAUAACAUGUUGAACCGCAUGGUUCAACAGUGAAAGACGGUCUUGCUGUCACUUAUAGAUGGAUCCGCGCCGCAUUAGCUAGUUGGUAAGGUAACGGCUUGCCAAGGCAACGAUGCGUAGCCGACCUGAGAGGGUGAUCGGCCACACUGGAACUGAGACACGGUCCAGACUCCGACGGGAGGCAGCAGUAGGGAAUCUUCCGCAAUGGGCGAAAGCCUGACGGAGCAACGCCGCGUGAGUGAAGAAGGUCUUCGGAUCGUAAAACUCUGUUAUUAGGGAAGAACAAAUGUGUAAGUAACUAUGCACGUCUUGACGGUACCUAAUCAGAAAGCCACGGCUAACUACGUG
rnacentral:rRNA from 1 species